UUCACGUUGCCCAGCUCAGUCCUAUCCACCUGCGGCCUGUGUCUCCCGAAUCUGUGGUUCUCACAGCUCUGAGGACUCUCAAAACGGCCCCACAUGCCAGCCUCUUCUCUGUUCCUCAGCAGCGGCCCCAGGUGUGUGGGCUUGGGGAGGCCACUUGAUGUCUUUGAGAUUCUACGUAUCCACUGAAGCUGGGGUGGGAUUCAAGCAGAAGGAAGGUUCUGGAAAGUUAGCUCAGAGAAGUAAUCUGACAGCCCUCCAGGAAAACCUUCCUGACCAUCAUCUAGAGGCUUCACACGAUCUCAGAGGCCUGGAGGGAAGGACCUCGGUCUGGGACCUGCUUCCUUCCUUUGAACAGCUUGGCUGGCCACGCUGCUGCAGAGAUAUGAAAAGGCAUGCGAGCACAAGUCAGCGUGUUCCUGCCAAAUCAUCUCUAAGCACUUCACAGAGACGAUCGUGUCGAACAUGUCAUUAUCAUUUCCUGAAUCAUUCUGGGCUUAGUGUUGUAGGUCACGAUGGGUUUUUGUCAACAUGAUUUAACCGUAACCACACAAAGGACAUUACUAGGGCUAGAACUGACAAGUGAUAGUCACAGAAAAUACAGGCCAGGUUUCACAUAAAGGCUGACAAUCCCUAACCUGAAAAUCUGAGAUCCAAAAUGCUCCCAAAUCCAAAACUUUCUUGGUACUAACAUGAUUCCACAAGUGGAAAAUUAUAUACCAUGAAAUUUUGCUACAUGAACAAAAUUAUUUUUAAAAAAUGGUUUAAAAACACCCUAAGAUUACACAUAUAGGGUAAUAGGAGACAUAAAUGAAUUUUGAAGAUAUUUCAUUAUAUGUGUGCAAAUAAUCCAAAUAUCCUCCCUACCCUUCUCUCUCAUACAUUUUCGACAUGAACUACUUCUGCUCCCAAGCGUUUCAG